rnacentral:rRNA from 1 species
GACGAACGCUGGCGGCGUGCCUAACACAUGCAAGUCGAACGAUGAACCCGGAGCUUGCUCCGGCGGAUUAGUGGCGAACGGGUGAGUAACACGUGAGUAACCUGCCCUUGACUCUGGGAUAACUGCGGGAAACUGUCGCUAAUACCGGAUACGACCUACGGCGGCAUCGCCAGGGGGUGGAAAGAAUUUCGGUCAAGGAUGGACUCGCGGCAUAUCAGCUAGUUGGUGAGGUAACGGCUCACCAAGGCGACGACGGGUAGCCGGCCUGAGAGGGUGACCGGCCUCACGGGGACGAAGACGCGUGCCAGACUCCUACGGGAGGCAGCAGUGGGAAAUAUUGCACAAUGUGCGCAAGCCUGAUGCAGCAUCGCCGCGUGAGAGAUGACGGCCUUCGGGUUGUAAACCUCUUUUAGUAGGAAAGAAGCGAAAGUGACGGUACCUGCAGAAAAAGCACCGGCUAACUACGUGCCAGCCGCCGCCGUAA